rnacentral:rRNA from 1 species
CUAUGCUGCCGAGAAAAGCCUCUAGCGAGCUGGUACAUGGCCCGUACCCCAAACCGACACAGGUGGUCAGGUAGAGAAUACUAAGGCGAUCGAGAGAACUGUGGUUAAGGAACUCGGCAAAAUGCCCCCGUAACUUCGGGAGAAGGGGGACCAGUCCUGGUGACGACAUUUACUGUCUGAGCUGGGGUUGGUCGCAGAGACCAGAGAGAAGCGACUGUUUACUAAAAACACAGGUCCGUGCGAAGUCGUAAGACGAUGUAUACGGACUGACGCCUGCCCGGUGCUGGAAGGUUAAGAGGACCGGUCAGCCACUUCGGUGGCGAAGCUGAGAAUUUAAGCCCCAGUAAACGGCGGUGGUAACUAUAACCAUCCUAAGGUAGCGAAAUUCCUUGUCGGGUAAGUUCCGACCUGCACGAAUGGCGUAACGACUUCUCUGCUGUCUCAACCACAGACUCGGCGAAAUUGCAGUACGAGUAAAGAUGCUCGUUACGCGCGGCAGGACGAAAAGACCCCGGGACCUUCACUAUAGCUUGGUAUUGGUGUUCGGUUCGGUUUGUGUAGGAUAGGUGGGAGACUGUGAAACUCGCACGCCAGUGUGGGUGGAGUCAUUGUUGAAAUACCACUCUGACCGUAUUGGACAUCUAACCUCGGACCAUGAUCUGGUUCAGGGACAGUGCCUGGUGGGUAGUUUAACUGGGGCGGUUGCCUCCUAAAAAGUAACGGAGGCGCCCAGAGGUUCCCUCAGCCUGGUUGGCAAUCAGGUGUUGAGUGUAAGUGCACAAGGGAGCUUGACUGUGAGACGUACAUGUCGAGCAGGGACGAAAGUCGGGACUAGUGAUCCGGCACCGGCAAGUGGAAGCGGUGUCGCUCAACGGAUAAAAGGUACCCCGGGGAUAACAGGCUGAUCUUCCCCAAGAGUCCAUAUCGACGGGAUGGUUUGGCACCUCGAUGUCGGCUCGUCGCAUCCUGGGGCUGGAGUAGGUCCCAAGGGUUGGGCUGUUCGCCCAUUAAAGCGGCACGCGAGCUGGGUUUAGAACGUCGUGAGACAGUUCGGUCUCUAUCCGCCGCGCGCGUAAGAAACUUGAGGAAACCUGUCCCUAGUACGAGAGGACCGGGACGGACGAACCUCUGGUGUGCCAGUUGUUCCACCAGGAGCACCGCUGGUUAGCUACGUUCGGAAGGGAUAACCGCUGAAAGCAUCUAAGCGGGAAGCCUGUUCCAAGAUGAGGUUUCUCACCACCUAGCGUGGUUAAGGCCCCCCACAGACCAUGGGGUUGAUAGGCCAGAACUGUAAGCACAGCAAUGUGUUCAGGUGACUGGUACUAAUCGGCCGAGGACUU